UGCUGACAUAAGUAACGAUAAAGCGGGUGAAAAGCCCGCUCGCCGGAAGACCAAGGGUUCCUGUCCAACGUUAAUCGGGGCAGGGUGAGUCGACCCCUAAGGCGAGGCCGAAAGGCGUAGUCGAUGGGAAACGGGUUAAUAUUCCCGUACUUGGUGUUACUGCGAAGGGGGGACGGAGAAGGCUAUGUUGGCCGGGCGACGGUUGUCCCGGUUUAAGCGUGUAGGUGUGUGUUCCAGGUAAAUCCGGUUCACUUUAACACUGAGGCGUGAUGACGAGGCACUACGGUGCUGAAGCAACAAAUGCCCUGCUUCCAGGAAAAGCCUCUAAGCAUCAGGUAACAUCAAAUCGUACCCCAAACCGACACAGGUGGUCAGGUAGAGAAUACCAAGGCGCUUGAGAGAACUCGGGUGAAGGAACUAGGCAAAAUGGUGCCGUAACUUCGGGAGAAGGCACGCUGACAC
rnacentral:rRNA from 1 species